rnacentral:rRNA from 1 species
GAUGAACGCUGGCGGCGUGCCUAAUACAUGCAAGUCGAGCGAACGGACGAGAAGCUUGCUUCUCUGAUGUUAGCGGCGGACGGGUGAGUAACACGUGGAUAACCUACCUAUAAGACUGGGAUAACUUCGGGAGACCGGAGCUAAUACCGGAUAAUAUUUUGAACCGCAUGGUUCAAAAGUGAAAGACGGUCUUGCUGUCACUUAUAGAUGGAUCCGCGCUGCAUUAGCUAGUUGGUAAGGUAACGGCUUACCAAGGCAACGAUGCAUAGCCGACCUGAGAGGGUGAUCGGCCACACUGGAACUGAGACACGGUCCAGAAUCCUACGGGAGGCAGCAGUAGGGAAUCUUCCGCAAUGGGCGAAAGCCUGACGGAGCAACGCCGCGUGAGUGAUGAAGGUCUUCGGAUCGUAAAACUCUGUUAUUAGGGAAGAACAUAUGUGUAAGUAACUGUGCACAUCUUGACGGUACCUAAUCAGAAAGCCACGGCUAACUACGUG